UAUUGCUCCCCCUAUUCAUCACAAGGCCAAAGUGGUGCACAAGAUAGACCUCCUAAUCAAAUUAAUUACUCAGUAGAAUUGGAAUACAAAAUACCCACGCGCGCUUAAAUGAAGAGAACCAAAAUAUAUCAUCAUACCAGAUGCUCUGAAGAAAAUAAUUACGUCCCAGCUGAAACUAACAUGAAACUGAAAAACUUAAAGAUAUCCAGAGAGUAAUUUAAG
rnacentral:lncRNA from 1 species